rnacentral:lncRNA from 1 species
GGAAAUUAGCAGUAAUGCAUCACAAAUAGUCCAGAAUGCCUCUGUACAAACAGUUCCAUGGGUGCUUUGCCACCAGCAGCAGGUGAUGCUGAAGAAGGAUCGGGAGGAGAAGCUGCGAGCGUUGGAGGACGCAGCGCGCGGGGUCCCGCCACACAUCCACCUCGGCCGGAGCUUCGAUCCAAUGCGGAGGAUGUCACCAGGUGACCGGCCACCCUCGAUGUGGAACCCCAGGAUGUAGCUCGCAUCACGUGAUGCGUUGUUCGCUUGAGAAGAAUGUGAACGAGAUGCGAGGAUCAGACUGGGUGUGUGUGUGUGUGUGUGCGUGUGUGCCUACGUGGGUGCGUGCGUGCGUGUGUGUGUGUGUGCCUGCUGCACUGGUCUAUCCAAGAAGGCAGUUUAAGGGCAUGUAGAUAAUGUUAUUGCAAUGAUACAAUGAAUGACUCUUAUUCGGAUUUCAUUGUCAUCCAUGCAUAUAGGGGCACACUGUGACACUAUCUAUGUACAUAUAUAUAUAUAUAUUAAGACAAUUUUCUCGUAUAUCAAUUUUGUACAGUUUUGCACCUAAAAAUAUUUUGUGACAGAUUUCAUAAUUUUUGUUUUGUUGCGAUCACACACUGAUUUCUAUUGCCUUCUCAGUCUAUGUCUUUCACGCGUUUAAGUGUCAGCGGAUGUGACAAUUAUAUGACAAACGUUUUUAUUGUUGUGGAGCAAUAGGUGACAACAUGUUGCCUUGCACUCUUUAAAUAGUGUUGUGGUAUGAAAUGAGUGCAUGGCAUUUAAGUGUAAAUCUUCAUCAUGAAUGUACUUGCUUAACACAUAUUUGCUGACAUUUUCAACUCAGUGUUUGUGUAGGUGCGUCCAGAUUGUAAUAUCUUUCAUCAGCUAGUAACUGCUCAAUGAGACAAACAACAGAUGUCUAAGGCAGGUUUCUUACCAAAAUGUGUCAAUGUCUCUAAAGCUUGCUGGGUAUAUAUUACGAAAGGAAAUACCGAAGUUUAGUACUUACGCUCACCGAUGUUGACAUUAGAGUUCUAAAUAUUGGAUUCCAGCAUUAUUUUCUAUCAAUAAUUUUUAAUAGUGAGGUUAAAGUGAAGUACCGCCUUCUCACUUGUCUGUGCAAGACAUAUUGCAGGAUAAGCAUUUGUGCAGAAAUACGGAGCAUAUGCAAACAUAUAUGUCAGAGUUAUGUAUCUUGUUGUUAUUCUGCAUAGAUCUGCAUAAUUGUUAGCGCAUUAUCAGAAUUAAUCGCACUCGAAUUUAUCUCAGAAAACUAAUGGCUUGCUGUACUUGUCACUGCAACGGUGUGACAAUGGCUGAACCUGAUUCCACUGAGAGAAAAGCUCUUUUAUGGUUAGAUUGUGGCGCGUAUAUUAGAGGGUGUUGAUGGCGUACCCCGAAUCUUAGUUCACACAGAAUGUUUGGACUCUUUUCAAUUUUCAGUGAUUAUAUUUAUUUGUUACUAAAAUUUGUUGAUUGAUUAACCAAAGCAUGCCGACAACCAAGAUGUUUACGUAUAAAAAGUUAAGCAAAUCGAAAUUCACGGUAAAGGAAUAGGCAAGUGUAUUUAUGCUAACGUUAAUUUCUAGAAGGCUAUCCAGGAUCAGGCCAGGCAAAAAAUCUCAACUGACGGAAGAAAAUUUUCCAUUCUAACGUUGAAACACUUUGCAGUUUCUUACCUUACGCUAUACCCUAUUAGCUCCAUUACAUAGUGGAGGAUGUACAAACUUCUCGAAAUGCGUUGGAACGCGAGUAGCAUCUGUAGCUGUCUUUCUCGAGCCUGUUCUCUCUAUUUGUGCACACAUAAAUAAAUACAAGGCUUGUUCUUUAGUUCUCAUACGUGAACAUCGAGAUGCUAGUGUAAAUAACGUGUGAUAUUGUAUGUGAUGUGACGGUCGCGAAACUGUAACGUAUAUAGGUCGAAAGAGGCGCCUUUCUAAAACGCGUGUGGAUAGCAUAUUUUGUACGAGAUGCACCGGUGUGUAGCUAGCUGCGUGUGAAUGUUUGCACAAACACGGGCCCUUUCUCAAGAUUCCACUUGUCGGUUCAUUAAAUAUGUUGGAGGGGGAAUUAGGCAAAACAGUCGCAAGCUGCACAACAUCGUCUCGGCAAAUGGUAAAAUAUGCACAUGACAAUAAUGAGUUGCUUCAGAACGUGUAGGUGUAUCAUGGAGCGUGAAAGCUGGGGUUAUAAUGGAUUAGUUAAUACAAUGACGCCCUUUGACAAGACUGAAUAUUUCGCCGUUGCCGGGUUCGGUAUUGCGCACUGCAGCGUGUGAUGGUGUGUCAGAUGGCGAUGUCCAUCUCUUGCACGGCUGUAUAGAUGUGUUGCAUAUCUUUAGCAGCAGCGCCAUCCGUGCUGUUUACUGUUUCGUGAGGUACAUCGCUGUUAGGAUACCGCCGCGAUACGAGUGAUAACUUGCGGGGUAUCAGUUGACACGAAGUCGGUGUUUAAGCCACGAGCGAAGAAAUACUCUUCAUUGAUAUCAUCAGGAAUGGAUAAUAGAGAUAAUCUCUGCUAUCCACUCCUGAUAUUAUGAGCGUUGCCGACCCUCUAACGUUGAAUCUUCCCCGGCCCCCCAUACAGUCAACACCUUGCAAUGUAACAGUGUAGUUUCUUCUUUUUUGUGGUCGUGUAAGUUGCACCAUCCGAUGUGUGUUGUUUUGCACGAAUAUGCGAAUAUAUAUAUAUAUAUACAUAUAUAUAUAUAUAUAUAAUACUAAUAUAUAUAUAUAUAUAUAAUACUAUGCCCAAAGAUGUAUGAAAUCGAACAGUGGUUUGUAUAAUAUUAGUAGUUUUUAAUGGAACUAGCUGGGCAAUUUUAUGCCCUAGCGACCAUUUUCGCUUCUGCGUGUAACAUAUGCUCGUUGUUUUAUGUGAUAGAAAUUGUGACAUAUUUCACAUACAAUAAAUAAAUGACGUCAAACAUA